rnacentral:lncRNA from 1 species
CCUUCCCCUCCUUCCCAUGGCUUCGUGCACCCUCGCCAGCCGUCGGGUUCGUCGGAAAAUCCACAAAGAGCCAAGAUCAUGUUUUGCUCUGUUCGGCCGAGCCAUCUCCCUCCCUUUUCCGGCCACCAGCGCCGCCGUCCAUGGCGCCGCACCCCUAGGUUUGGAACCCCACCCCUCUACCUAUCUUCCCCGAAGGUCAUGGCCGCCGGUGAUCGGCCAAUGACCGGAGAAAAUUCAAGGAAAGGGGCGGUCCCCUGUUUUUCCAUUU